GGAUAUAAAAUAUCUAAAAUCUUAAUUAAUGAGUAUAAAAUUAAAAGGGCAUACAAAAUAAUAAAACCUAAUUAAACUAAAAAGAAAGAAAUAAAAUAAAAAAUAAAUAAAUAUAAUUAGAUUUUUAUUAUUCAAAAAAUAAAUAAAAAAAAGAAAUAACUAAUAUAAUAUAUUAAUUAGAAAAUUAAUUAAUGGGUUUUAUUUUAAUAAUAGAAAAAUA
rnacentral:lncRNA from 1 species